GACGAACGCUGGCGGCGUGCCUAAUACAUGCAAGUCGAACGCACUCUCGUUUAGAUUGAAGGAGCUUGCUCCUGAUUGAUAAACAUUUGAGUGAGUGGCGGACGGGUGAGUAACACGUGGGUAACCUGCCCUAAAGUGGGGGAUAACAUUUGGAAACAGAUGCUAAUACCGCAUAAAACCUAACACCGCAUGGUGUAGGGUUGAAAGAUGGUUUCGGCUAUCACUUUAGGAUGGACCCGCGGUGCAUUAGUUAGCUGGUGAGGUAAAGGCUCACCAAGACCGUGAUGCAUAGCCGACCUGAGAGGGUAAUCGGCCACACUGGGACUGAGACACGGCCCAGACUCCUACGGGAGGCAGCAGUAGGGAAUCUUCCACAAUGGACGAAAGUCUGAUGGAGCAACGCCGCGUGAGUGAAGAAGGUUUUCGGAUCGUAAAACUCUGUUGUUGGAGAAGAAUGUAUCUGAUAGUAACUGAUCAGGUAGUGACGGUAUCC
rnacentral:rRNA from 1 species